rnacentral:tRNA from 1 species
GCCUGGGUGGCUCAGUUGGUUAAGCAUCUGACUCUGGCUCAGGUCAUGAUCUCACAGUUUGUGGGUUUGAGUCCCAUGUCAGGCU